CCUUCUGUGAUGAUUUUUCACUUGACUUUCGUUCUUCUGAGUUAUCUGAAGCAACAUAUGUAGUCUGAAAAGG
rnacentral:snoRNA from 1 species